CUGCCCACAAGCUCAGGUAGUUCUUCAGGCUCUUAAGAAGUCUUGAACAUUCUUGAGAAACACCAACAAAAAGUGCAGUCAUCUGUGAAGAAACAGAUCUGGAGGAAAAACACCUUGGACUAGCACCGAGAGGAGUGUUUUGUAAGCACAACAGAAAUGAAAACAGACCGAGCCCAAGUAGAAGAAACAUCCCAAACAAAGCAUCAACUCCCUGCUGAAAUGGCAACUCUUUUCUCACUUCCUCAGUAGCUGUUGGGUAUUGCUGACAAACUCACAGAGAAGCCAGCUAAGCUAAAUGGUGCCUGUGGAGUACAGAGCAGAAGAGAGUAUCCACAAGUCUGGCACCGUUCUUUGGCACCAAGUCCCCCGAAAACCAUCAUGGCUAUGCUGAGAAAUACUCCCUCAGGAAAUCACUUGACCUGAAUCUUGGCUUCUGGAGGACUAUGCCACCUCUCAGGCAAAGGGGAUUGGGCCCAUGAUGACUGAGCCAAAGGCAGCCUCUGCAGCCGUGAUUGGAAACAGCCAUGCCUUUAAGUGUUUAUUUCAAAUCUUCUGCCAUGGUGGUGGACAGCUGACCAGCACAGCUUCACUCUGUAAAGCUGCUAUCUAAUGAAGUCCAGCUGUUUGAACUCCAAAGCCUCAAUACCUUUAACUGUAGCAGAAUACUGAAACAAUGUCUCCCUGACACUUCUUCCAAACAUUUCUCCCAGCACUAUGCCCACCAGCCCUCUAGUGCUAAAAGGUGGAUGAAGAAAGUAACAUUCAGGAAGUUGGGAUCACAUAAUGCAGCAUGACGAUGAAGGAAUGUGUUCAGCCAAUCACAGCAACAGCUUCCAGUCCCACCAGGGAGGCCUCUCAGGGAAAAGGGAUGAGCAAUCACCAGCCUUGCAUAGGAUUAAUCACAAGUCUCCCCCCAUUGCACCAGUCACUUGCUUCUUGUAGAAUUAUGGAGGAAGAGGAGAUGGCCCUUCUCCCAUCUUGUAUGAGAAUAGCGGCAGCCAUCUGAGGUUCGCAGAGGAUUGGGGAACCUGAAAUCCUGUCUCCGAGAUGUGUGCAACUUGUACAGGUUAGUUUAGCUGAACUUGUGGUUGGAGCAUGGUCUCCAGGAGGAGGAUUUGUGGAUUUGUUUGUUGUGUUCUUUAUAGCCGGGAAUUAAAGAUGGCAAAGGCUUUGGGGGGAUUAGAGUAAUAUGGAAACUUGACGAAUAAGGAAACACAGAUCCAGCAACGGAAUAUAGACCCACUGAGGUAAGGGGAAAGUCAGCAUGUUGUCUUGAAGGUAGAGGAUGGAUAAAUGACUCUGAAUUAGGAAUGGGGCAAUUGUUGAUGAAUUUGGGAAGGUUAAUGUCUACAGAAUGGUAGAAGGGCUUGAUUAGAGCAGGCUCCCACAGAUCAGGGAGAAAAGGUACCACAAAAACAAACAACUAUUCUAGGUUUAGCUUUCUAGGUGAACAAUUAAAUUGAGCCUGCCAAUAGAGGAGAAUUGGGAAUAAAACUUUUUUCAGACUAGCAAAAAUUAGCAUAUUUAUAUGCUGUUGAGAAUAAUCCACUAUUUAGACAGUUCAUGGUGAAGGAUAAGGAAAUAAUUAUUGUGGGGUACAUCCUCUAGUAGGCAAGGAGAAGUGUUCAAUGCACAUUGUACAGGGCAGAGGAGCAUGUGGGUAAGGAGAUGGAAUGACGGCGCAAGAGGAAGCCCAUGGCUGGUGCUUUCUCUAUGAACUAGCGAGCAAGUUCAUGGGUUAGAAUGGGGCUUCUGUCAGCUGUGUUUUCACCAACUGGACACAAACCUAGACAUAGCUUGGAAGAGUGAAUCCUAAUUGAGAAAAUGCCUCCAAUGGAUUGACCUGCAGCCUACCCACUGUGGGCGGUGCCAUCCCUUAGCAGAUGGUCUUGAGGUGCAUAAGAAAGCAGGCUGUACAAGCCACAAGGAGCAUCCUUCAUGGCUUCUCCUUCAGUACCUGCUUCUGAGUUCCUGCCUUGGCUUCUCUCAACAGACAUUCCAGGCAGAUGUUAUUCAAAUAUUCUGCUUAAGAAUAAUGUAUUCACUCACAGUCCUGUGUGUGAACCAUGUGAAAUAUACAUAGAUAUUCACUUCACCCCAAUGAGGAGACACUGUCCUCUCUCCCAUUCCUCUCUGAUUUCCAUCAAGGGCUCUUAGUUCCAAUGACUUCGGGAAGAUAUUAAAGCAACAUGCAUGCCAAUUAAUGUCCUUUCUUGCCAAAAAUUAGAAAAGAAUUGGAUACUCAUUUUCUGCCUUCUGAUACAUUAUGAAAAUCUUAUUUGUUUUGUUUGCUGGUUUGCUGACAGCCAAUAUUACUUGCUGUUUAGGAAUCCCUCCCCCCUUUUCAAAUAGUCCACGUAACCAUUGGAUGAAAUUUUAUGCAAUGCCAUGGCUUCAGAUACCGUAUGUGGGCUGGUGAGUUCUCAUUUGGAUACUGUAUUUAGCUGCCUGAUUGGCCUUUCAAUCUUAAUGUCUUCAAUGAGCAUCCCUAAGAAGAACUCUUUUCCUUCCCAUCUUCCCUCAAGCACACCUGCUCCUCCUCCAUCCUCAUUUGGGCCAUUUCUUAUGCCAAAUAUAUGGUCAGUAUUUGAUUUCUUCUUCUGUCUGUGUCUGUCUCCUUCCCUCCCUUCCUCUUUUCCUCCCCUCCCCUCCCUCCAUCUCUCUCUCUCUCUCUCCUUCUAUAGUUGAGCAGUUGCCUGUGAAAGCCAGAAAAGUUGUUGGUUCCCUGGAGCCAGCAUUAUAGACAGUUGUAAACUGCCCAGCAUGAGUGCUGGGACCUGAAUUCAGAUCCUCUGCAAAAGCAGUAUUUACUUUUUAUAUGGGGCUCUGACCCAUCAGCAAACCUUGUGAUAAUGUUGCUACUGUGAUGUUGAGAUAAUGCAACUGCUCUCUUUCUUCAUUCACUUCCCACUGCACACACCAGGCCAGUGAAAUCUUUUAAAAGUGUAAAUCAGAGCAUUGAAUUUUUUCAGGUAAAAUCCCAAGCAGCCUUCCAUAUACAAUCUUAACAGCGGCCUUUAGAAAUAAUGAGAACUGUUUGGUGCCGUCAUCCCAGCUCAUUCCAAACACCCUUUCUCUUGCUGUUUUCUGGCUCCGCAGGGCUUCUGUGGGUUUACUGCAUAGGCCAACCCAGUUGGUUUUGGAAGCUCUUGGUCAUUCAGGUCAUUCAGGUCAUUCUUGGAGAGGAAUUCAGAUUCAGCAUCCCUUCUUCUGUGUUACCUUAGUUCUUCUAUCAUAUUUACCACCUCUGG